GCUAGGCAUCAUGGUGCAUACCUGUAAUCCCAGCCCCUGGGAGGCAAAGGCAGGAGGAUUGCUAGCUCAAAGCUAGCCUCAGUGACAGUGAGGCACUAAGCAACUCAGUGAGACCCUGUCUCAU
rnacentral:sRNA from 1 species